AGCGAACGCUGGCGGCAGGCCUAACACAUGCAAGUCGAACGGAUCCUUCGGGAUUAGUGGCGGACGGGUGCGUAACACGUGGUUGACCUACCCUCAAGUAGGGGAUAACGUUCCGAAAGGAAUGCUAAUACCCUAUAAGCUCCCGGUGUUUAGAAGAUUGGGAGAAAAGUUCCGGCGCUUGAGGAGGGGACUGCGAACCA
rnacentral:rRNA from 1 species